CUCUCUCUCGUUUCUCUAUUUUUUUCCUUCUCUCCUUUCCUCUCUCCGUCUCUCUCACUUUUUCUCCAACACAGACCCAAGAGCCCCUUUUCUCCAGCAGAUACAGAUCGAAACCCUAACUUCAAUUUUUAGAAUCUCUUAUCCUUAAUCUCUCUUGAACCCUAACGAUGUUGUUUGAUUUGUAAAAUUGAGGGAAGUAAAACCCUAACGAUACUGUAUUUUGAUUCUACUUUUUAAUUUCAGAUUUCCUUUGAUUCGGGGUUAUUAGUAUUCCUAGAAAUCAAAACCCAAGAAGUGGUGGUGGUUAUGCUGGUCCUAGAGGUGGUAGUUCAAAGAGAUGCUACAGAGAAUCGAAUUGAAGGGUUGGAGGAUCACCAAUUUAUAAAGUUCAUAGGAAGCUAGGUAAAGGUGGCUUUCAGCAAGUUUUUGUUGGUUGUCAUGUGUCAGGGACUAAGGAGGUAGUGAAAGAGCAAAAAGUUUGGGUCCGUAGAGGUGGUAGUAAAAUUUAAGCAUAAAAGUAUUGGGGGUCUAUGUUUUCAGCUGAUGAUGAAAUUGAGUUAAAGACACAAAGGGUUGAAUCAUUUGAAGAUAGUGACGCUGAAAGUGAUUCAGAAUCUCUUGGUGAGGUUAUGCACAUGAUAUCGAUGAAUUUCAGGAACAAAGUAAAAGAAGUGAAAUGGGAAUUUGAGGUUGAUAUGUUUUCUGCUUUUGGAGAGGAAGUCAGGUAGUUAAGAAUGCCCUGCACUUUUCCUUCAUUACAUUAUAAUUGGAAACUGGAUGUGUAUAAGCUAUAUAACCUUUCAACAAUUAGAAGAGAUAUGUUGGCUAAACAAUAUGUUAUUACUAUUUCGUAUGCACUGGCAAAUAUCUGACGUGUUCAAUGGUGUAAAAAUGUUGAAUAUAUAUAUUUAUAUCUUAUACUUUAUUAUUUUGCUA